rnacentral:lncRNA from 1 species
UUCGACUGGAUCAAACGAUUUAGCUGAUGAGGGAUCAGAUCAGCCAAGUUCAAAAGCAUUCACUAUAAAAUCGAUUCGGCUGGAUGAGCCGAAAGUGCGGAGUGCACAAAGACUAGGAUCGUCCGAAGAGCCGAAUGGAUCGAAUACACAGUAACUGGUCGGCUGAGAGAGCCGAUAUCUUUAUAUAUAUUGAAGAUGACUUGUGAAAACAGUAUAAAGGUCGAGUGUGCCUGAGGGCAUACAGACUCGGUAAAUCUGGCUUAAUUCUACUUCUAGGGAAAAACAGUAAAUGCGAAAAAAUAAAAGAUUACAAGUAGACUACUCCUAGAAAAUGUGAAAAAAUUACAGAGAAAAUAAAAGUGGUCUUCUGUUCUCGGAAAAAAAAUUCCUUUUUAGGGUGUUAUUUGCCUAUUUAUAACGCGCCCAUAUUGAUCAAUUAUUUUUCACCCAUGAUCGGCCACUCUUCCUAUUUUUCGGGGCCACUUACAGCCGAUCGGAACCGCUUGUAACUGCUUGCGGUUACUGUAACUUUCCUCAGUUAUAUGCGAUGCUUCUUCCGAUGCUCCUGGUGUAUAUAAAAAUUCCUACUCUUAUUGGCCCAACACUAACUAAACCUGUGAAAACAAAUAAUCGAUUCAAAAUUUAAAGUCAAAGUGCUGUUGAUUGGCUUAAAUUAAACAAAUUGAAAGGUUAGAUAGUAAAAUUAAAAUUUUAAAAGGUUGGAUAGUUGAAUGAAAAUGGUCCAUUUCACACAUUUUCACCUAAUUUUUUCUAAAAAGAUUAUUUACCUCUUA